rnacentral:rRNA from 1 species
UACGUAGGGUGCAAGCGUUGUCCGGAAUUAUUGGGCGUAAAGAGCUCGUAGGCGGUCUGUCGCGUCGGCUGUGAAAACUCGGGGCUCAACCCCGAGCCUGCAGUCGAUACGGGCAGACUAGAGUCCGGCAGGGGAGACUGGAAUUCCUGGUGUAGCGGUGAAAUGCGCAGAUAUCAGGAGGAACACCGGUGGCGAAGGCGGGUCUCUGGGCCGGAACUGACGCUGAGGAGCGAAAGCGUGGGGAGCGAACAGG